UACGGAGGGGGCUAGCGUUGUUCGGAAUUACUGGGCGUAAAGCGCGCGUAGGCGGACUUUCAAGUCAGGGGUGAAAUCCCGAGGCUCAACCUCGGAACUGCCUCUGAUACUGUAAGUCUUGAGUCCGAGAGAGGUGAGUGGAAUUCCUAGUGUAGAGGUGAAAUUCGUAGAUAUUAGGAAGAACACCAGUGGCGAAGGCGGCUCACUGGCUCGGUACUGACGCUGAGGCGCGAAAGCGUGGGGAGCAAACAGGAUUAGAAACCCCCGUAGUCC
rnacentral:rRNA from 1 species